rnacentral:rRNA from 1 species
AAGGCUUCAGUACGACCCAGUCAGAACUAUAAGUCUCAAAGCCCCGACGAGUAGGGUGGCGUGCCGGUGCGCGUUGAAGGCCAAGACGUGAGUCAGGCUGGAGCCGCCGGUAGUGCAGAUCUUGGUGGUAGUAGCAAGUACUCUGGUGAACCAACCUGGAGCUGUGAGGUCUGGAUUAGGGUUCCAUGUCAACAGUGAUUGAACAUGGGUGAGUCGAACCUAAGCCAACUGUGAAAGCAGUGACAUCCCGACAAAGGGGCAUUACGUGCGCUGCACUUACACCCCCAAAGCAAAAGCUGGCUAUCUCUCUCUGUAUGGUACGGAAAUACGCAUAGAUAAGGAGGGGGCGCACACAUGGUGAUCGCUACAAAGCGUGAGUGUGUGCGCUUGUUUGUCUCGUUACGCUCACAAGCGUUGAACUGUUUUUUUUUUUUUNNNNNNNNNNNNNNNNGAUAGUGGGUGAGCGUGAGUUUGCUCUUGCAUGAGCCCCCUGCGUCUGGUUCUAUGUCUGGCGAAAGGGAAUGGGGACUUUGUUCCUUGACCGGUCCCGGCACCCUCGAUUGGCUCUGCCAAUUAAUGGUCCAUGCAAAUGGAACCAGGCCACAGCCGUCGGCAGUCGCCCGAGGAAGAGUUUUCUUUUCUGCUUAACGCACGAGAUCAUCCCUGGAAACAGUUCGGCUGGCGAAAGGGUGCCCCGCUGCGGCAGAGCGCCACGACUGUCGUGCGCGUCUCGGUGUUCCUGCCGGUCCGUGAAGACGUGGUCGAGGGGAAUGCUCUUGUAUCAACGAAACGCCCGACAAGUUCGGGACGGACCGUACCCUAUAUCCGCAUCUGGUCUCCAAGGUUCGUAGCCUCUGCAGAGUCAGACACAUGUAGGUAAGGGAAGUCGGCAAACUCGAUCCGUAACUUCGGGAAAAGGAUUGGCUCUGAGGGCCGAGCUGGGCCGGGCCUUGCCUGCAAAGCAGUACCUAUAGUGACCGGAGUUUCAGGAGUGCGAGGGGCUCUAGUAACUGCUUGCUCGCCUUCGCGCGUGUGAGUACGAACGAGUCCACCUCUCCGCUCCAACCACGAACGGCUGUGACGGCAAGGGCUCUGGGCGGGAGCGAUCGAUCCGUUGGCCUCCAGCUCGUCUGGUUGGCGGCGGUGCUCCGUCUGUCCCAUACGGCUCCAGCAGCUAGCGGCUAACUCAGAACUGUCAUGGACCAAGGGAAUCCGACUGUCUAAUUAAAACAAAGCGUCGUGAUGGCCCGUGUUGGGUGUUGACGCGACGUGAUUUCUGCCCAGUGCUCUAA